AAGCAGCGGAGCAUGUGGUUUAAUUCGAAGCAACGCGAAGAACCUUACCAAGACUUGACAUCCCCUGACAGCUGUUGAAAGGCAGUGUCUCUUCGGAGCAGGGAGACAGGUGGUGCAUGGUUGUCGUCAGCUCGUGUCGUGAGAUGUUGGGUUAAGUCCCGCAACGAGCGCAACCCUUAUCCUUAGUUACCAGCACGUAAAGGUGGGGACUCUAGGGAGACCGCCGGGGACGACUCGGAGGAAGGUGGGGACGACGUCAAAUCAUCAUGCCCCUUAUGUCUCGGGCUACACACGUGCUACAAUGGCCGCAACAGAGGGAAGCGAGAGCGCAAGCUGGAGCAAAACCCUAAAAAGCGGUCCCAGUUCGGAUUGUGGGCUGCAACCCGCCCACAUGAAGUCGGAGUUGCUAGUAAUCGCGAAUCAGCAUGUCGCGGUGAAUGCGUUCCCGGGCCUU
rnacentral:rRNA from 1 species